rnacentral:rRNA from 1 species
AUGGGGUGGUGUGAUCCACAAGGAGCCGGCAUGUAUCUCGCUAGGGUGGAUGGUGCAGUCUACUGGGUGGGGUUUUCCACAGUGCCGGUGGUCAGCCCGCCGUGCAGGUUCGGCGAGAUGGUGGCGGAUGCGACCCAGAAGAGAAAGGAGUUCGCCAACGCCGAAGUGGCCUUCUGA